UACAGAGGGUGCGAGCGUUAAUCGGAUUUACUGGGCGUAAAGCGUACGUAGGCGGCUUUUUAAGUCGGAUGUGAAAUCCCUGAGCUUAACUUAGGAAUUGCAUUCGAUACUGGGAAGCUAGAGUAUGGGAGAGGGUGGUAGAAUUUCUAGUGUAGCGGUGAAAUGCGUAGAUAUUAGAAGGAAUACCGGUGGCGAAGGCGGCCACCUGGCUUGAUACUGACGCUGAGGUGCGAAAGCAUGGGGAGCAAACAGG
rnacentral:rRNA from 1 species